CACCGCGGUUAUACGAGUGACCCAAGCUGACAGCCUCCGGCAUAAAGGGUGGUUAAUAGAACAUAAUAAAUAAAGUCGAACAUCUCCAAGGUUGUAUAACGCAUUCGAGGACCUGAAGCUCAAUCACGAAAGUGGCUUUACACUAUUUGAACCCACGAAAGCUAGGGAA
rnacentral:rRNA from 1 species